rnacentral:rRNA from 1 species
AGUGAACGCUGGCGGUAUGCCUAACACAUGCAAGUCGAACGGCAGCACAGUAAGCUUUUGCUUUUACGGGUGGCGAGUGGCGGACGGGUGACGAAUACAUCGCCUUCUUCUUUUUCGUGGGUGAUUACGUAGGGCAACUUAUGCUAAUACCUCAUACGAUCUACGGCUGAAUGCAGUGGUUCUUCGCACCUUUCGCGUUUCUUUUAGCUGAUGUCGGAUUAGCUAGUUGGCAGGGUAAAGUCCCACCAAGGCGACGAUCCGUAGCUGGUCUGAGAGGAUGAUCAGCCACACUGGAACUGAGACACGGUCCAGACUCCUACGGGAGGCAGCAGUAGGGAAUAUUGGACAAUGGGCGAAAGCCUGAUGCAGCAAUGCCGCGUGAGUGAAGAAGGCCUUCGGAUUGUAAAGCCCUUUUAUUAGGGAAGAAAAGAAGCAGAUGAAAACCCCGAUGUUCUGACGGUACCCAAAGAAUAAGCACCGGCUAACUACGUG